rnacentral:rRNA from 1 species
CCUACGGGUGGCAGCAGUGGGGAAUAUUGCACAAUGGGGGGAACCCUGAUGCAGCGACGCCGCGUGGGGGAAGGAGUGCUUCGGCAUGUAAAGCCCUAUCGGCAGGGAAGAAACAAGACGGUACCUGACUAAGAAGCCCCGGCUAACUACGUGCCAGCAGCCGCGGUAAUACGUAGGGGGCGAGCGUUAUCCGGAUUCACUGGGUGUAAAGGGGGCGUAGACGGGCAGGCAGGCAAGGGGUGAAAGCCCGGGGACCAACCCCGGGACUGCCCUUGGAACUGCAGUGCUGGAGUGCGGGAGGGGCAGGCGGAAUGCCUGGUGUAGCGGUGAAAUGCGUAGAUAUCAGGAGGAACACCGGCGGCGAAGGCGGCAUGCUGGACCGCGACUGACGUUGAGGCUCGAAAGCGUGGGGAGCGAACAGGAUUAGAUACCCCAGUAGUC